CUUGGCAGUUGAGAUUCAGACCUUGACAGUUGUAACCGAUAGACUGGGCUGGGGCAACGCUGAUGAAAGGCAAAUUCCUGAGAGAAAAAUCACCCAGAUUUUUCAGUGCCUUCUCUAGCUUUCUAGAAGUUGUUAUGAGUGGACCUGACUACCUAGAGAGAGUAAUACAGAAGCUCCGUGCCGAUCACAGCUACCUCAUUACCAUGUUCCUCCAAGAUGGCCGCCCCUGAGGAGAAUCAUCAACUGGGCUUUACGGAAGAGAGAAAUCCAAACGACCAUCAGCAACAAAUGAAAGACUGAAGUUGAAAGGAAAUCCAUAAUUUUUGAAUGCUGGCCGAGGUCUGUGACCUCUGACUGAAUGGUUUCCAAGCUCCGAAUUCCUAGGUGAUGUUUUCAUUUGUUCACACUUGCUGAAGAAGGGAAAGGCUCUCUGAUUUACGUGUAAGCAAAACAAUCUAAACAGUAGGAUAAAAUCAUGUUGGAAUGGAGUUCUGUGUGGAUGCUCCUUUGAACCAAAUCAGUUCCACAACUGACCCUGUCAGGGACAUAUAAAUUUAGCAUUUUGGUGUGGAUACAGAAGACGAGAUUAACACAGAUCAAGUAACAUGGAAAUAAAAAAGGAGACAAUGCUGGAUGAUACAGGGGCAGCCAACAAGAGGAGAAAACCCAAGCAUUGGCAAAUGCCUCAUUAUCCAAAGAACACUGUAAAAGAAAGCCUGAGGAGGCUUUCCCCUCUGAGUUUUUCCGUGGAUUGCUGGACUCUGAGGCCCUCAUUCCUCUUGCAGGAGGUGUGGAGCAAAACUGUGUUGAAUGAACUGUAGAUGGAAAUUCUCUCCUUCCCACCGAGGAGCCGCUGCAGGUUGCAGACUCCCAGAAUGCCACACUGAGAAGAGGAGGGCUAAAAUUCUAGAGCAGAAUCCCUGGGGCAGCCCCUGCUGAAGAAGGGUGCAUCUGUUGAGAAUCUCAUCACCGCCCCCACCCCGCCCAGCCUUCAAUUUAGAGGAAUUUCUAGUUCACGCAGAAUGAAGACAAGAUCACAUAAGUGAGGACGACGCCCCAUUUACAAGUGUGAUUUGGAAGACUGAAGUGGAAACCUUGGGAAGGGGCCUCAGAGUAUGUCAGCUGGGGUCAGACGGGAACAGGAGUCUGGCUCAACACACAUUUAUUGCACUCCUGUUUCAUGCCAAGAAAUGUACCAAAAUCUGGGACUGUGUAACACAGCAAAGGAAAAGACUCAUCUCCAGGAAGCCCCCUUGUCUAGGAAGAGAAAUUGAAUAUCAGCAUAAGGUGGUGAAAAGCUGUGAAGGAGAUGAGUGCCAGGAGUCCAUGGAGGAAGGAUUCUAGCCUGGACAGGUGAUUGUGGUGAAUAGUCAUGAGAAUCUGGGAACUGGCUCCUGCUCUGUCUAUCUUGGAGAUGCAUCUUUUGUGAGAAGCCAGGGCAAGAAUAGGGAGGCUUAGGCAAUGGGAAGUUUCUGAGUAGAUAAAGCAGAUGGCAGAGCAAAGGGACAGAGCCUGGCGAGAGGCUACUCCCUGUAGCAACCUGCCUAAGAGUGAGAGGAAAGCAAGGCAUGGCUAUGAGCACGUGUAGUCUCAGCUACUUGGGAAGCUGAGGCUGGGGGAUCACUUGAGCCCAGGAGUUCAAGACCAGCCUAGGCAACAUAGUGAGACCAUGUCUCUUUAAAAAAAAAAAAAAAAAGAAAAA
ensembl:lncRNA LINC01206 long intergenic non-protein coding RNA 1206